GAUGAACGCUGGCGGCGUGCCUAAUACAUGCAAGUCGAGCGAACAGACGAGGAGCUUGCUUCUCUGACGUUAGCGGCGGACGGGUGAGUAACACGUGGAUAACCUACCUAUAAGACUGGGAUAACUUCGGGAAACCGGAGCUAAUACCGGAUAAUAUAUUGAACCGCAUGGUUCAAUAGUGAAAGACGGUUUUGCUGUCACUUAUAGAUGGAUCCGCGCCGCAUUAGCUAGUUGGUAAGGUAACGGCUUACCAAGGCGACGAUGCGUAGCCGACCUGAGAGGGUGAUCGGCCACACUGGAACUGAGACACGGUCCAGACUCCUACGGGAGGCAGCAGUAGGGAAUCUUCCGCAAUGGGCGAAAGCCUGACGGAGCAACGCCGCGUGAGUGAUGAAGGUCUUCGGAUCGUAAAACACUGUUAUUAGGGAAGAACAAAUGUUGAAGUAACUAUGCACGUCUUGACGGUACCUAAUCAGAAAGCCACGGCUAACUACGUG
rnacentral:rRNA from 1 species